AAGCAGACGGGUGGCCCAAAGCUGCUCCAAAGAAAGGUGAGAGGGCAGGAAAGGGUGGAGCUGGACCUCCCUUCCACUAACAGCUCUACAGUGUCACUCUCCUGUUUCUUAGACGACAAUAGCCUGGCUCCUCCCGCCCCGGUGGACAGUGAUGGGGAGAGUGACAAUUCUGACCGUGUUCCUGUGCCCAGUUUCCAAAAUUCCUUCAGCCAAGCUAUCGAAGCCGCCUUCAUGAAAUUGGACACACCAGCUACUUCAGACCCCCUCUCUGAAGACAGAGGAGGGAGGAAGAGGAAGAGGCAGAAGCAGAAGCUGCUGUUCAGCACCUCGGUCGUCCACACCAAGUGACUACUGCCCAGGCGCCUUCUCCAUCGGGUUUCUUCUGUG
rnacentral:lncRNA from 1 species